GAGGUCCCUGGUGCCUGCUGCGUGUGGCCUGUGACGCCAUCAGGAGGCGUCCGGAAGCGCCCGGGCCCGCGACCCCGCCCCCCCCAUCCCGCCAGGUCGCCGCGAGAGAAGGUGGCUGCCCCCCCCGCCCCUCCGUAUCGCCUCCCUCCGCGUCCCCCACCGCUCGCCCCCCGCCGUCCGGACUCGGGGCUCCGCGCGGCUCCGUCCGAGGCUCUGGCGCGAUGCUGCUGCCGGAGCCGCCGCCUGAGGAAACGGCCCCGAGCGGGCGGACGUGCGGGCUGCGGCGCCCGCGCUGCGCGUGAGAGCGCUCGGCCGCUCCGCCCUCCCCGCGCGCCGGCCGCCGCGUCACGGCCGCGUUGGUAACCGGGCGCCCAGGCACGGCCAUCGGGGCGAGCAGAGGCCACCCGCGGGCGGGCCGCGGUUGCACGAGGGGGCGCGGCUGUGCGCCAGCCUCAACUCGCUGCCUCCCUCUGCCCCGACUCGCUCCCGCCUCCUGGGCGGGGCCCGACUUAGCCUCCGCCCCCCCUUCCCUCCCUCCCCCUUCCCUUCCCUCCUUCCCUCCCUCCUUCCCUCCCCUUCCUCUCCUCCCUCCCUCUCCUUUCCUUCCCUCCUUCCCUCCCCCUUCCCUUCCCUCCCUCCCUCCCUCCUUUCCUUCCCUUCUGCUCUCCCUCCCUCCUCUUCCAUCCUUCCCUUCCCUCCUUCCCUCUCUCCUUCCUUCCUUCCCUCCCCCCUCCUUUCCUUCCCUUCUGCCCUCCCUCCCUCCUCUUCCAUCCUUCCCUUCCCUCCUUCCUUUGCUUCCCUCCCUCCCUCCCUCCCUCCUUCCCUCCUUUCCUCCUUCCGUCCCUCCCUCCUUUCCCUUCUCUCUAUUUCUGCCCAGCCUCUGUCCUGCUCCCUGCAUUCCAGCUUCACUGAGCUGCUGUGGUCCCUGAAAGACAUGGUCCCUCAUCAUUCCCCAUCUCCGAGGUCACCUGUCUGGGAUGCCCUUUCUCAUGCUCCCUCCUUCCUCCCUCUGUGCUGUGUCUUCUGAGACCGCCCUCAGAGGCCACCUCUCCGCAUCCCUCCCUGACCUGGAGGACAUGUGCAUCCCUUCUCUGUGGCCACAUCACCACACAAAGACAGGGUUCUCUGCCCGAUGCCCGUAAAAAGCCAAUGAUCACACCACCAGCUUUUUCGAGGUCGGCCAGCCAGGAGGCGGGAGUCAGAGCUCUCAGAGGUCCAGGUGGUGGGUUGGUGGUCUCAACAGGCCUGAACUGGACAAGAGGCCUCUCAGUUCCUGAGACACAGCUCAGUCGCUCUUGGAUACGGUGUGGACACUAGUUCAUACCUCCAGCUUCUCCUAGUACCGUGCCCAGGCUGGCAGACACAGUGGACACUUGCCGCCCAACUGACACGCUGAGGGUCGGAUGUGCCGCAUUUGCAGGUUACUGCCUGUUCCCUGUCAGAGGCAACAAAGCUGCUAGAGGUCGAGGAGGGCGUGGGUGUUGUGUAGACUGCGCUCGGGCUGCAGACGUGCGAGGACGGGCCCUGGGUGGUGCUGACAAACGAGGGGAACGAUUGAGUUCUGAGGGCUUUAUAAACACCCAGUAGAAGAUGUAUCGCCCCAGAUACGGUUUGUUUCUUAGUGAAAGUCAGCUCUAUGAAGGUGUAACUUCCGUACGAUAGAACACAGGCAUGUUAAGUGUGCGUCUGGUGAAUUUUGGAACAUGUCAGCACCUGGGUGGCCACGACCCCCAUUGAGAACUGGACUAUCUCGGCGUUAACCAGAUCUCCUGAAAUUCUCCAUCUGGCACAGGGUCCGCCUGCCCCACCUGCAGUGGGUCCUGUGCUUUGGGCUCUGGCCCCCGUGGGAGCAGCUGCAGUGGACGCUAGGGGGACACCAGGCUGGUCUUCAUCAGUCACAGAGACCACUCUCUGUCCAGAAGUAGGAGUGUGUGACACCUCUAUCCUCGUCACGCCUACGGCUGACCUCGACCGGUAACCACAGCCUGCGGUGCUCACAUUCCCAGGAGACAGCCCAGCAGUCCCGUCCCAGUUUGUCAGGAUUGCCCACCACGCACACGCUUCUCCUGUGUCUAGGUCCCAAUUCUGGCACAGGACGCACCACAGUGCUGCCACGUUCCUCCUCCUCUGGUCCCAGGCUUGGCACUGGCCACCCCACAGCAGCAUGUCUGUCAUGGUCUCCAGCUCAGCUGUGCUGGCUUGUGUUGUAUCACAGCUCUGCCCGAUCUUACAUACUUAUUCUAAAUCUCUCCUCCAAAUCAGGAGAGUACCUCGAAUAAGGAGGGGUCUCCAAUGGUUUGAGAGUCAGAGUUGCUUUGGAAACUAGAUGCAGGCCCCCCCGAGAGGCUCCAGUCCUGGAGUCCCCACAUGUCAUCCCGUGUUCAGAGAUGCGGGCACUACAGGCCUGAUGGGAGGGAGUGGCUGCCGUCCCUAGAUGUCCACCUGCGCUGCCCUCUCCCUGCUGGAGAGAGUGCCUUAGGGCAGAUGCUGUGACGAAGGUCAAAGUGACCUCUGCGUGUGAUGUCUGCCACUGGUGGCCCCAGUUGCGUAACUGCAAAGAGAACCCCAAGGAAGGGAGGGAGUCGCCCCAGGAUGAGGCGCCUGGUAGUUGCUCCUCUGGGUUGGCCCAUGGGCAAGGGACUCCCUGCGUGGUGGGUGUGGGGUUCCUGCCAAGUCACCGCCCAUAAGGCGUUAAUGAGGCGUUUGAGAUGAGGCCCCUAGUCUGGGGGUCUCCCCUUACUGGAGCCCCCUGAUCUGAAACUCCAAGGGGCCCUCCGGGGUCAGCUCCCUGUGGCCCCUUGUGUGGCACUCCAGGUGUCUCUGUGCACACUCGCCUCUGUGCUCUCCUGACCCCUGACCUCUGGACUGCGAAUGUGCAGGGAUGAACAUGGUGCGAGCCCAGAGCAUGGAGCAGCUGUGAAGGGACAGGCCUACAGGCCUGAUUCCCGAGCCUGGCAGGGCCGGCAGAGGAUCAAGAGCAGGCAGAGCCGAGCUGAGCCCUGACCCAGAAGGGAGAGGAGCGUCCCACUCCAGCAUGAGGGACCCCAUCCCCCCAGGGCGUGGCUGCUCCAGCCCUCCCUGCAGUUCAUUCUUUUAUCAGCAAAUGUCCCUGCAUGGGGCUUUGGGGAGAGCUGCUCUCUGGUUCCUGGGAGGUGCUCCCUCCGGGCACCCCUGGGUCCUGGCGUGGCCCCGAGAGGCUCAGAAUCACCCAGCAUUGUGGGGCUGGAGUCUGGAGCUCAGCCUCUCCCUCAGGCCUCCCUCAGGGGUCCUCUUGCCUCAGCUCACUUGAGAAGGCCAGUCCUUCCAGGUCUCCCAGGGCCUCCAGUGGUGUCAGAGCCUGACACUGGCCAGAAACCCCUCCCACGAAGAGACGCCAGGUGAGCGUCAACUCCAGCUACCCGGAACACCAGCCGGGCUCCAUCCUCUGCACCCUGUGAGUGGGGGUCUGCCUGGGGCUGCAGGCCCAGUGCGGGGCAGUGUCCGGCCUGAGAUGAGCAGACAGGAGGGCCACCCCGGCCCGCAGAGCAGCAGCUGUCUGCCCGCGCCUCGUUGCCUCUCGUGCAGGUGGCUUCACCCACACGUUGCACCGUGUGUACAGGGAGACAGUGGCGCUCUCCCGUGUGCACACACCACUCCUUCAGAAGCAGCACGUGCCCUUGAGCCUGACUCCGUCCCCAGGAGCCCGUGGAGGCACAGCAGGGCCUCUGGCCACCGCAGCAGGAGGAGCUGCAGCCUCUCUGUCAGCUGGUGGUGUCUCAGGGAAGCAGUGCAGAUGGGGUCUCUGGACCUGCUGGGGGCCUGGAGUGGUUUCUGAGCCCCAGGGAUGGUGAGAAGUGAGGGCCCUCGCUUCUGAUGAGAGCCCGACCUUCAAACUCCGGUCGCAUUCUGUCCUUGGGUUCCGUGGGAAGGGGGAUCUUCGGUUCCACGGUCAUUUCAAGUCAAGAUUUCCUCUUCUGCGCGUGCUCUGGCCACGUGACUUGGCACGUUUCCUGUUUCCUGAAAGGCGAUUCUCAACCUCUCUGUUGAUAAGAGAUGGCUCAGUUGACCUGGUGCUGGCGGGCCUGCGGUUACACCGCCAGCCGCAGGCUCGGGAUCCCCAAGGCGGUGCUUGGUGUGACAGCUCUCUGGAAGGGCCUGGAGCUCGCUGAGAGCUGAACCACGCAUGGCCAUGGUUCGUCACAGGGAAGGGACACAGAUGAAAACCGGCUCAGGAGAGGCGCCCGGGCAGAGUCUGAGUCCCCAGAUGCGGAGCACCCCCCUUCUUCCCAGCUCACCCCACAGACACCUUCCUGGAACGGAACUUGGAUAGCGGCAUGUGGGUGUGGUUCCAGAUGCAGACUCUGAGAUGAGAUUUGUAUGAAGGACAUGCUCCCCGGAAACGUGGCUGGGAGUGGGGAGUGGACGGGGAUGGGGAGGAGGCGCAUGCAGGCCUGUGGAGGGACAAGGGCUCCAUCCCGUGGAGGAACUCCGGACUCUGCAGGUCAUGGCUCGCAGGUGUCCCCAUCUGGAGGUGAGUGGCUUUGAGUGUUUGUGCCCCUGCCUGGCAGUCACCUGUUAAGGGUUGUAAAUCGCGACAACCCCAGCCCUCAGGAGCUCAGGGAAGGGCCCUCCUGUGGCCGGAGGGCGGCCCUCUGUCAAAGAUCCCGAUGAUGCCCCAUGGGAGUGGGGUCCUAGAGCCCAGGGGUGUGAGAUGGCGGAUGGAGACCUGGACGCGCAUCUGUGGCCGUUAUCAUCAGAGACCCCGCAUCCAGAGGGGCUAAUGGUUUUCUCCUCAGACAAGUGAGGGCUCCUGGUGUGACUGUCCGACCUCACGUGCCAGUGGGGUCAGCACCCGGCCCAGAAGCAGCAGCUCAGCAGCCACCUGCCGUCACCCUCGCCCCGACUGUGGUCACAGUGUCCCCACACCUGGGCAGAGAUGGGGCAGUGUUUUCUCUCCUUCAGAUGCCGCCCAGGCCCAGGCUUUGCCCCAGAGCCUGGGGGCCGUGACAAGAUCACCACGGACUGCAGGACUGCCUGCUGUCUGCUCCAUCCCACACAGACUGUUCCCCCGUCCUCCCUCCUGUCUGGUUUGAGAUGCCAGCCUCCGUCAUCCUGACCCCCCAGUGGUCACAGCCCCGGCUUUGGGCAAAGCAAAGGGGGCGGAAUGUGUGACCCCGGAAAUGCCACUUGGGCGAGAUUGUUUGAGCUGAAGACCCUGGAAAAACAGCAGGCUCGGACGUCUUAUAAAUCAGAAUUCCCCUGAGGUUAACGGGUACCAGACUCAUGAAAGGAAAACCUGGCGGGGGUCGUGCAGGGAGAGCCUUGGAGAAGCUCUGACCUAAAGACGCAUCCAGAGACCGUUUCUCACCAGCUCUGGGUAAUCAGCACAACCAGGGAAGAGGCCCCUCCCUGUGUCUCCCCAGACUUUCCCGGCCGCCAGAGACUAUCAACAUGCCGCUGUUUGCCCGGUAGUGUUAUUGUUUCCCUCUCUCCUUCUUCGUUUAUUAAUACGAAUUUUUCUGUGGGGAGACAGUGUUUCUUCUCCCACGUU
rnacentral:lncRNA from 1 species